rnacentral:sRNA from 1 species
AUGGCUGUCGUCAGCUCGUGUCGUGAGAUGUUGGGUUAAGUCCCGCAACGAGCGCAACCCCCGCUCCCAGUUGCCAGCGCGUUAUGGCGGGGACUCUGGGAGGACUGCCGGUGCUAAACCGGAGGAAGGUGGGGACGACGUCAAGUCAUCAUGGUCCUUACGUCUAGGGCUACACACGUGCUACAAUGGCCGGUACAGCGGGUCGCAACCUCGCAGGAGUGAGCCAAUCCCAUAAAGCCGGCCUCAGUGCGGAUUGGAGGCUGCAACUCGCCUCCAUGAAGCUGGAAUCGCUAGUAAUCGUGGAUCAGCUACGCCACGGUGAAUACGUUCCCGGGCCUUGUACACACCGCCCGUCACGCCAUGGAAGCUGUGAGCGCCCGAAGUCCGUGUCGAAACCCGCAAGGGAUCAAGCGGCCGAAGGCGAGCGCAGUGACUGGGGCGAAGUCGUAACAAGGUAGCCGUAGGGGAACCUGCGGCUGGAUCACCUCCUUAACGGAAUUCGAGUAGGCAAACUGCCAAUCACGAGCGCGCAAGCGCGAGGGGUCUGCAGUUGGCCGAAAGAAUUCGUAAGUCGCUUCACCCGCACAUCACAACCCAAUUCGAUUUUCUUAGUCCGACGCCACCGCCCGCAAGGCGGUGUUGGCGUCAGCGCUAUUUGACAACGGAACGAAAGGUAGAUCGUGGGAAAUGGAAGAAUCACACGAGCAAGCAAAGAGCUGAUGCUGUUUGUAUCAGAGUUUUGAGUGCUCACUCGUGAACGACGAAGUGAACGAUUUCAGGAAUUGCGUUCUUGAAAUCGCGCGUGCUCUGCUUGGAUACAGGAUCGAGGAGGCGAGUGACGGUUCGUGCGUGGUGGCAACACCGGUCAUGAACUCGAGCGACCCAACUUUGUAGUCAAGCGAGCGAUAGCAUGUGGAGGAUGCCUGGGCACACAGAGGCGAUGAAGGCCGUGGUAAGCUGCGAUAAGCCAAGGGGAGCGGCACACACGCACUGAUCCUUGGAUGGCCGAAUGGGGAAACCCGG